rnacentral:rRNA from 1 species
UACGUAGGGGGCAAGCGUUGUCCGGAAUCAUUGGGCGUAAAGCGCGUGUAGGCGGCUCGAUAAGUCUGCUGUGAAAGUCCAGGGCUCAACCCUGGGAUGCCGGUGGAUACUGUCGAGCUCGAGUCCGGAAGAGGAGUGUGGAAUUCCUGGUGUAGCGGUGAAAUGCGCAGAUAUCAGGAGGAACACCGAUAGCGAAGGCAGCACUCUGGUACGUGACUGACGCUGAGACGCGAAAGCGUGGGGAGCAAAC